rnacentral:rRNA from 1 species
GACGAACGCUGGCGGCGUGCCUAAUACAUGCAAGUAGAACGCUGAAGGAGGAGCUUGCUUCUCCGGAUGAGUUGCGAACGGGUGAGUAACGCGUAGGUAACCUGCCUGGUAGCGGGGGAUAACUAUUGGAAACGAUAGCUAAUACCGCAUAAGAGUAGAUGUCGCAUGACAUUUGCUUAAAAGGUGCAACUGCACCACUACCAGAUGGACCUGCGUUGUAUUAGCUAGUUGGUGAGGUAACGGCUCACCAAGGCAACGAUACAUAGCCGACCUGAGAGGGGGCUCGGCCACACUGGGACUGAGACACGGCCCAGACUCCUACGGGAGGCAGCAGUAGGGAAUCUUCGGCAAUGGACGGAAGUCUGACCGAGCAACGCCGCGUGAGUGAAGAAGGUUUUCGGAUCGUAAAGCUCUGUUGUAAGAGAAGAACGAGUGUGAGAGUGGAAAGUUCACACUGUGACGGUAUCUUACCAGAAAGGGACGGCUAACUACGUG